UACAGAGGAGCCAAGCGUUGUCCGGAUUGACUGGGCGUAAAGCGCACGCAGGCGGUUGCGCGCGUGGGGUGUGAAAUCUGGCCGCUUAACGGCCAGGCGCCAUCCCAUACGGCGCGACUGGAGUGAUGCAGAGGUCGAUGGAAUUGCCGGUGUAGUGGUGAGAUGCGUAGAGAUCGGCAGGAACACCAGUGGCGAAGGCGACUACCUGGCCUGUUCUUGACGCUGAGGCGCGAAAGCUAGGGGAGCAAACAGG
rnacentral:rRNA from 1 species